UUUUCCUAUUUUUCUUGAUGGCAUAUCUAGUUAAAAAGUAUUUGAUUUAUACAUUUUGGACUGGAAAAAGGAAUCGAUUAACAUACAUGUCGUGCUUAUUAAAAAACUCCACAUAUGGCACCGUAAGGAUAAAAAUUAAAAAUAUUGACGACGACUCGAGAUAAUUAACCCUCUAUAUUUAAUUCAUUGGUAACAAUUAACCCACUGAAAUAAAUUUUUUGUAAAAAUGACGAAAAAAGAAAAGCCCAACCCUUUCCCGACAUAGCAUUGUUCUCGAAGUAGUUGCCUAAAUGCAAUUAGAAAGGAAAUCUAAUUCGAAACUCAUCGAAACAAAGUUUUUGUCGACUGGAUCAUCAUCCACGCACUUGAGAUCUCCGCCGCUCCCUUUCGAGAUUUGGUCUCGCUUCCCAAAUGUUGAAGGUUGGCUGAGACUCACUGACUCACUGAGAUGCUGAAGAUGAUGAUGCGGAAUAUAGCUGCUGCUUCUUUUUAUUGCAGCAGUCGGAGAUGGAGAGGUAUGCCUUGUCUUCACUCUAACUCUACUCUUGUUGUUUUCGACAACAAUUACUUUGCUUUCUUUCACUCUCAACCUUCGAAACCAAUCAAAUCUACAAGAACCCAGUGAGAGACUCACCCAAAAUCACAAAUGUUGAGGAUGCUUUCAAUGUGAUUGAUAGAAUGCUCCAAAUGCGUCCUCGGCCUUCAGUUGUUCGUUUCACUCAAAUAUUGGGUCAAGUUGCAAAAUUGAAACAUUACUCAGCCGUCAUCUCAUUGUAUAACCAAAUGGGUGUGUCGAGAAUUGGACGUGAUGUUUAUAUUCUAACCAUUGUCAUUAAUUGUUAUUGUCAUUUGAAUCAAAUGGGGUUCAGUUUAUCUGUAUUGGGAAAAUUCUUCAAACUUGGUCUUGAACCAAAUGUCUUUACCUUCACCACUCUGAUCAACGGCUUUCUUCUUGAGAAUAGAGUGGCGGAGGCGGCAGGAAUUUUCAACAAAAUGAUGAAGGCAGGUAAUUGUAAGCCUAAUUUGGUUACUUUCAGCACACUAAUAAGGGGUUUCUGCAUGACGGGUAACAACAGUGCAGCUAUCCAGGUGCUUAGGAAGAUGGACGAAGGAGCUUGUAAGCCUGACGUAGUUUGCUAUAGCAACAUCAUUGACAGUCUUUGUAAGGAUACACUAGUUGAUGAUGCAUUAAACCUCUUCUUAGAAAUGAUGAGCAAGGGGAUUGCCCCAAAUGUCAUUACCUAUACAUCCUUGAUUCAUGGAGUAUGCAAUUUAGGCGAGUGGAAAGAAGCUACAAGGUUGUUGAAUGAAAUGGUGAGUAAAAAUAUCUUUCCAGAUGUGUUCACGUUCAGCGUCUUGGUAGACACACUUUGUAAGGAGUCGUGGAAGCAGAAGGCGAGGUUGAGAUGAUGAUUCAAAGAGAUAUUGAUCCUAAUACAGUUACGUACACUUCACUCAUGGAUGGUUACUGUUUGCGAGGAGAAAUAGGCAAGGCACAAAAGGUUUUUGAACUAAUGCUUAGCAAGGGCUCGAUGGUUGAUGUUGUUAGUUACAGCACACUGAUAAAUGGAUAUUGUAAGCGUAAAAAUAUUGAUGAGGCAAUGAUGCUACUUCGGGAAAUGACUUGUAAGGGACUGGUUCCAGAUACCGUUACUUAUAGCAUUCUUGUGGAUGGUUGUUGCAAAGUGGGGAAAUUAGGUGAUGCACAAAAGUUGUCCUCCGAGAUGCAAGCUUGUGGCCAGCUUCCAAAUGUUCAAACUUAUUCUAUUCUACUGGAUGGCCUGUGUAAAAACCGACAACUUUCUAGGGCAAUGCAAUUGUUUGGAGAGAUGGAAGCGAAGAAGUUGGAUAUUAAUAUUGUGAUUUACAAUAUUCUUAUUGAAGGUUUGUGCAUAGCUGGAAAAAUUGAAUCUGCAAGGGAUCUCUUUUGUGGUUUAUCAUCAAAAGGACUUCGACCUAAUGUGAGGACAUACACUAUAAUGAUUAAUGGACUCUGUAUUGCGGGCCUAACAAGUGAAGCAGAAAAGUUUCUUAUCCAAAUGGAAGAGAAAGGCUGUUCUCCUGAAGGUUGCACCUAUAACACAAUUAUCCGAGGGUUCAUCCAUAAUAAACAGACAUCAACGGCUAUGGUACUUAUUCAAACAAUGGUAGAGAGGGGUUUUUCUGCAGAUGCAUCAACAAUGGAGUUGAUAGUUAAUUUACUGUCGAAGGAUGAAGUAGAUCCUGCUUUGUUGCCUUUGAUAAAAAAAUCACUGUGAAAUUAAUAUGCAUUUGUGGACAAUGAAAUUUGGAACUGCUGCACCUUCAACGAGAAUUAAUACCAGAAAUUAAGGAUGCAAGUGAGAAGGCAUUUUCACCUCCUGCCACACGCACAACCACUGUAAUUUUCCCUUUAUCUAUGAUGAUUUAUUUACUUUGUAUUCCUAUCGCUUAGCAUCUUGCAGUAUAUAGAAGGCCAAAUAUAUAAAUUUAGGUGUGCCUUCUCACGACUCUCCUAGCUCGAAAUGUUUCUACAGAUAAUUGUCUACUGUUUUGGGUAUCAGAAACCUUGACAAAACAUAGACCAUUAUAGGUUAAGUCAAUUGCCAUUGACUUCAAAAUUAGUUAUCUACAGAGGAUCUUUAAAAUCAAAGGUUGGUUUGUCUCUCUUCCCACAUAAUGUAUAAUAUAUAUACUAAUGGCUUCUAGUUUGAGGAUGAAAUAAUGAGCCUAAACUUUGGUAACUCAUUGAUGCUCUGGAGAGGAGUGUGUUAUUUUGGGAUAGUUCCUUGAUUGAACUUGUGUUGAGUACCCAUCUUUAUGUUAACUAAACUAAUUUUCCAAGUUAAAACUCUUUUGUUUCUUGUCUGGUUCAUAUAUACCAGUCAAUUUAGAUGGUUUGCUUGGUUAGAAGUUGGAACUAGUUAGCCAUGAUGGAAAAUACUUGCCCCAAUGCCAGGAUUGGGAUUGGAAGGGAAGGGAGAGUUUUUACGAAGUGAUUUUUGAAUGUAGUGAACUAUAUAUUUUCUAUCAAAAAGAAAAUGACAUGCAUUAAUUUGCAGCUA